GAAUAAGCAAUGAUAAGAACAAGUAACUACUAACUUUUUAUUUAGAGACCUAUAGCUUGGUGAAAUAUAGGAAAAACUUAGUCGUGAAUGGACCUUGGAGCUUAUACAACUACAUAUAAGUGCUAGAUUUUUAUCUAGAACUAAGGUGGUACCGCGAAAUUACAUUUCGUCCUUAGA
rnacentral:ncRNA from 1 species